AGAGUUUGAUCAUGGCUCAGAUUGAACGCUGGCGGCAGGCCUAACACAUGCAAGUCGAGCGGUAGAGAGAAGCUUGCUUCUCUUGAGAGCGGCGGACGGGUGAGUAAUGCCUAGGAAUCUGCCUGGUAGUGGGGGAUAACGUUCGGAAACGGACGCUAAUACCGCAUACGUCCUACGGGAGAAAGCAGGGGACCUUCGGGCCUUGCGCUAUCAGAUGAGCCUAGGUCGGAUUAGCUAGUUGGUGAGGUAAUGGCUCACCAAGGCGACGAUCCGUAACUGGUCUGAGAGGAUGAUCAGUCACACUGGAACUGAGACACGGUCCAGACUCCUACGGGAGGCAGCAGUGGGGAAUAUUGGACAAUGGGCGAAAGCCUGAUCCAGCCAUGCCGCGUGUGUGAAGAAGGUCUUCGGAUUGUAAAGCACUUUAAGUUGGGAGGAAGGGUUGUAGAUUAAUACUCUGCAAUUUUGACGUUACCGACAGAAUAAGCACCGGCUAACUCUGUGCCAGCAGCCGCGGUAAUACAGAGGGUGCAAGCGUGAAUCGGAAUUACUGGGCGUAAAGCGCGCGUAGGUGGUUUGUUAAGUUGGAUGUGAAAUCCCCGGGCUCAACCUGGGAACUGCAUUCAAAACUGACUGACUAGAGUAUGGUAGAGGGUGGUGGAAUUUCCUGUGUAGCGGUGAAAUGCGUAGAUAUAGGAAGGAACACCAGUGGCGAAGGCGACCACCUGGACUAAUACUGACACUGAGGUGCGAAAGCGUGGGGAGCAAACAGGAUUAGAUACCCUGGUAGUC
rnacentral:rRNA from 1 species